UACGGAGGGUGCAAGCGUUAAUCGGAAUUACUGGGCGUAAAGCGCGCGUAGGCGGUUUGAUAAGUCGAUUGUGAAAUCCCCCGGGCUCAACCUGGGAAUUGCAGUCGAGACUGUCAGACUAGAGUGUGGGAGAGGGUGGUGGAAUUCCCGGUGUAGCGGUGAAAUGCGUAGAUAUCGGGAGGAACAUCAGUGGCGAAGGCGACCGCCUGGCCCAACACUGACGCUGAGGUGCGAAAGCGUGGGGAGCGAACAGG
rnacentral:rRNA from 1 species